rnacentral:lncRNA from 1 species
UUUUUUCUCUACAAUCGAGAGUUGAUAAAUCAUUUUUUUCUCAGAUGGGUUCGUUUAGUGUAACGACUGUUAAUUAUGACAAAUCAUAGCUGACGUGGACUUAGUACUUGAGCAAAUCUGCGACUGAGUGAUUUUUGUUUACAAUGUGCGACUGAGUGAUUUCUUUCAUGUCAAGUUGUUCAAGAGUUCGAUCGCCAUUAAAAACUUAUUACGCAUAGGCUGCUGUACUCACUUGUAUUCGAUUGAAAAUUGAUGAAGAGCCGACUGGGUGACGGGGGUAGUCGGCGUGGAUGAUACCGUUUGCCACCAGGUAGUCAUCUUCAGCGACAGCGAAAUUGCGGAAAAUACUAGUGAAGACAUGCAGAAAUUACCGUGUCUUCUUCAAUGCUUUAACAGAGAUUGUCUUUUUGCAGUAGCUUACCAAUGUAAAAGACCGUAAGAGUAAUUUGUGGGUAAAGGCCUACGGACUUUUUUUUGUCAGAGCUCAGACCUUGUAGUUCAAUUAACCGAACAUUGUGAUAGGCUUUGGUCUUGCAGGUACCAAAAAAUAAUGGUCGUCGUUUCAUUUUCCAUCUUCAAUCCAAUGUAUGUAUAAAUAGAUAAGUCAUGAUCAAUCUUUAUUAAAGAAAAGUUCCCUACAUUUGAAGAACAUAAUAGACCCGAACCACUGCAUGUGUUCAUGCAUUUGUUGACACAUAAAAUUUGGUGACAGAUAUGGUCAUUUUCAGUUGAUAACAGUUGGUAUGUGACAGGAAUGUAUUCUGGUGGCGAAGAAAAACUUAAAACAAGAAAAGAUUUCAACUAAGUAAAAUUUAUUUAUGUUACAGUUGUUUGGUGUUAAAUUUUUCUAAUCCAUUGCCUUAAAAUCAGUUAAUCUUAAGUCUAGUCAACAGAUACUACAUUUUUCAUUUACUCUUUAGGUGUGUUUUAUGCAUUUGUCGUUGAGACUUGAGAGGCUUGUAUUUGCCAGAUUGUUUAUCGUAUGGAUUUAAAAUCGAUGCUAAUAGUGGAUUUUCAUCGGAGAAGUUGUAGACCGAUCAAUGGUGGUAUGAAAAUAGCC